rnacentral:rRNA from 1 species
AGCGAACGCUGGCGGCAUGCCUAACACAUGCAAGUCGAACGAGACCUUCGGGUCUAGUGGCGCACGGGUGCGUAACGCGUGGGAACCUGCCCUUAGGUUCGGAAUAACUCCCCGAAAGGGGUGCUAAUACCGGAUAAUGUCUUCGGACCAAAGAUUUAUCGCCUUUGGAUGGGCCCGCGUUGGAUUAGCUAGUUGGUAGGGUAAAAGCCUACCAAGGCGACGAUCCAUAGCUGGUCUGAGAGGAUGAUCAGCCACACUGGGACUGAGACACGGCCCAGACUCCUACGGGAGGCAGCAGUGGGGAAUAUUGGACAAUGGGCGAAAGCCUGAUCCAGCAAUGCCGCGUGAGUGAUGAAGGCCUUAGGGUUGUAAAGCUCUUUUACCCGGGAUGAUAAUGACAGUACCGGGAGAAUAAGCUCCGGCCAACUCCGUG